rnacentral:rRNA from 1 species
CCUACGGGUGGCAGCAGUGGGGAAUAUUGGGCAAUGGGCGCAAGCCUGACCCAGCAAUGCCGCGUGAAGGAAGAAGGCUUUCGGGUUGUAAACUUCUGUGACAGGGGAAGAGCAGAAGACGGUACGCGGAAAACAAGCCACGGCUAACUACGGGCCAGCAGCCGCGGUAAUACGUAGGUGGAAAGCGGUGUCCGGAUUUACGGGGUGUAAAGGGCGUGUAGCCGGGAAGGCAAGUCAGAUGUGAAUUCUGGAGGCUCAACCUCCAAAUUGCAUUUGAAACUGUUUUUCUUGCGUACUGGAGCGGCAGCCGGCCUUCCUUGUGUAGCGGUGAAAUGCGUAGAUAUCAGGAGGACCCCCAGUGGCGACGGCGGUCUGCUGGACAGCACCUGACGGUGAGGCGCGAACGCGUGGGGAGCACACAGGCUUAGCUACCCUUGUAGUC